GAGAGCACAAUAUGAUGAAAGUUGUAAGCUGUGUUCGGGGGGAGUUAUUGUCUAUCGUUGGCCUCUAUGGUAGAACCCAUUGGGGAGGCCUGAGAGGCGGUGGUUUACCCUGU
rfam:Triticum aestivum genome assembly, contig: Triticum_aestivum_CS42_TGACv1_scaffold_513115_6BS